rnacentral:misc_RNA from 1 species
AAUCAAUGCUCACAGUUCUGGAAGUUUAUGAAUGAAUAGGACAUACCAAUUCUUUAUCUGGUGUGAUUUGGCUUCUAUUGUUACUCGGUUCUGUAACAAGAGCCAAUUCCCAUCCUGAUGAUUUUCCGGUUUCACCUACUUGAUUAUUUGUUGAUAGAUUUCCUUUGCCUGUAUAAUAUCUCAAAUACAUCAACUAUUAAAAUAGAAUCACCCUCUCGCUUUACACAAGUUGUGUGUAUUACCAGGUGGAA